UACGGAGGGGGCAAGCGUUGUUCGGAUUUACUGGGCGUAAAGGGUGUGUAGGCGGUUAUGUAAGUCUGGUGUGAAAUCUUCAUCGCUCAACGGGAAGAGGUCACUGGAAACUGCGUAACUCGAGCGUGGUAGAGGCAAGCGGAAUUCCUGGUGUAGCGGUGGAAUGUGUAGAUAUCAGGAAGAACAUCGGUGGCGAAGGCGGCUUGCUGGGCCAUUACUGACGCUGAGACACGAAAGCGUGGGGAGCAAACGGG
rnacentral:rRNA from 1 species